rnacentral:lncRNA from 1 species
AAAUGCAUAAUAAGAGAUCCCUAAGUAAUACAAAAAGAAGAGAUUUGUGUAUGUCCAAAAAGAAAAACAAAAAAAAACAAAAGAGAAAAAUGCACUUGCAAAGACUUAAGACUCUAACACCUAUAAAAUGCUCACAAAGAAUUGAGUGGAAAAGAGUCAAAAAGUAAAUUUAACCCCCAGAGUAUAAGUGAUGCACGGAAAAAAAAAAGAGAAAGAAAAAUCAAACAACAUGAAUGCCGAGUUCAAAACCAUUUGUUA